AUUGAACGCUGGCGGCAUGCCUUACACAUGCAAGUCGAACGGCAGCACGGGAGCAAUCCUGGUGGCGAGUGGCGAACGGGUGAGUAAUAUAUCGGAACGUGCCCAGUCGUGGGGAUAACGUAGAGAAAUUUACGCUAAUACCGCAUACGAUCUAAGGAUGAAAGCGGGGGAUUCGCAAGAACCUCGCGCGAUUGGAGCGGCCGAUAUCAGAUUAGGUAGUUGGUGAGGUAAAGGCUCACCAAGCCGACGAUCUGUAGCUGGUCUGAGAGGACGACCAGCCACACUGGGACUGAGACACGGUCCAGACUCCUACGGAGGCAGCAGUGGGGAAUUUUGGACAAUGGACGCAAGUCUGAUCCAGCCAUUCCGCGUGCAGGAUGAAGGCCCUCGGGUUGUAAACUGCUUUUGUACGGUAACGAAACGGUUGAAGGCUCUAAUACAGUUUGCUAAUGACGGUACCGUAAGAACUAAGCACCGGCAACUACGUGCCAGC
rnacentral:rRNA from 1 species